CAUAUUUCUCAUAGAUGCAGGUCCAAGCAAAACCUGUAAAAUGUUGCUGCUCCACAUUGUUAUUCUGGCUUUGGUUUUGUCUUACGGAUGUGCACAAAUACAUCUGAGACAAGCUCCAUUGUCCAUUAUCAGGGCAGAAAAUAAAACUGCACAUAUAGUCAGUGAGGCUUCUGGCAUUCAGAACAUCGGGAGUGGUUUUAUACACUGGUAUCGACAGAGACCUGGAGAAGUGCCAGAGCAGAUACUCUACUUUAAGACACUAGCUGAUAAAUCAAGUAUUGACAAGAACAAGUUUAGGGUUGGCAAGACAACUGAAAAGUCCACCUAUACCUUAACAGUAGAGAAACUAACCUACAAUGACAUGGCUGCCUAUUACUGUGCCUACUGGGAUCUCACAGUGUUAGAAAGCCAUAGACAUGCUGUGCAAAAACCUCACUCUGUAUUCGGAGCCACAGACUUUCAAAAGUGCACGCUAAAGGUUUUUGAUUCACUCACAAUACUAGAGAGCCAUCUGCUGGAUCCCCUCCUCUGCCAGCCUCUUGGAGAUGCUCUCGCACAGAUGCUGGUUUCAGGUGCACCUCUCAAAAUCACGUUCUUUGCCGUGUUCACACCAGAGACCAACAAGAACCCUGAUGCUUUGACGAGCGAGGACAUGCCAGGACAGCAUCUUCUCAAGCUAUUCAACUGA